AAAUAGAUUAAAAUAAUUAAGGGCACACAAAGGAUGCCUUGGUAGUAAGAGCCGAUGAAGGACGUGGUAAGCUGCGACAAGCCUAGAUAAGUUGCAAUCGAACGUAAGAGUCUAGGAUUUCCGAAUGGAGCAAUCUAUUAAGAUGGAGUAUUAAUACGAAAGAGGGAACCGCGUGAACUGAAACAUCUAAGUAACGCGAGGAAAAGAAAGUAAAAACGAUACCCAAAGUAGCGGCGAGCGAAACGGGUCAAGCCUAAACCUUAAAUAUGUCAAGGAUACAGCCGUUGUAUUUAAGGGGUUGAGGGACAGAGUGAUGAAGAACUGUAAGAUAUUCAAUAUAGUGUAUUGAUGAACUAGAAUAGUCUGGAAAGGUUAACCGUAGAAGGUGAAAGUCCUGUAUAGGUAAAUCCUUACACAUAUAACUUUGAUCCCAAGUAACAUGGAACACGAGGAAUUCUGUGUGAAUCAGUGAGGACCAUAUCUCAUAAGGCUAAAUACUCUUACUAACCGAUAGCGCAUAGUACCGUGAGGGAAAGGUGAAAAGAACCCCUGGAGGGGAGUGAAAUAGAACCUGAAAUUGUGUGCUUACAAGCGGUCAGAGCCAGUAAUGGUGAUGGCGUGCCUUUUGGAGAAUGAUCCUGCGAGUUACGUUAAACGGCAAGGUUAAGUAUUACGGAGCAGAAGGGAAACCAAGUCUUAAUAGGGCGAUUUAGUCGUUUGGCGUAGACGCGAAACCUGGUGAUCUAAACCUGUCCAGGAUGAAGCUGUGGUAAGACACAGUGGAGGUCCUAACCCACCGCCGUUGAAAAGUUGGGGGAUGAGGUAGGUUUAGGGGUGAAAAGCCAAUCGAACCAGGAGAUAGCUCCUUCUCUCCGAAAUGCAUCUAGGUGCAGCCUUGAGUCUUCAAUUAUGGGGGUAGAGCACUGAAUGAUCUAGGGGGCAUAUUGCUUACUGAAAUCAAUCAAACUCCGAAUACCAUAAUUUAUAGCUCAGGAGUGAGACUAUGGGAGUUAACUUCCAUUGUCAAAAGGGAAACAACCCAGACCACCAGCUAAGGUCCCUAAUUAUAACUAAGUGGGAAAGGAGGUGGAGAUUCACAAACAACUAGGAGGUUGGCUUAGAAGCAGCCAUACCUUUAAAGAGUGCGUAAUAGCUCACUAGUCGAGAGUCUCUGCGCCGACAAUGUAACGGGGCUAAGUUAUAAACCGAAGCUGUGGAAUCCGUAAGGAUUGGUACGAGAGCGUUCUGCAGGCCGUUGAAGGAGAAGGGUAACCGACUUUGGAGGUAUCAGAAGUGAGAAUGCAGGAAUAAGUAGCGAGAAAGGGGGCGAGAAUCCCCCUCGCCGGAAGACCAAGGUUUUCAGGGUAAAGCUUGUCUUCCCUGAGUAAGCCGGGACCUAAGCCCAGGCUAUAAUGCGUAGGCGAAUGGAAAACAGAUUAAUAUUUCUGUGCCAGUCAUAUAUUGUGAUGGAGGGACGCAGAAGGGUAUGCGCGCGGACGAACGGAAGUGUCCGUAGAAGUAUGUAGGAUGACUUAGUAGGAAAAUCCAUUAAGUUAUAUCUGAGGUAUGAUAUAUAGUCGUAAGAUGAAUGCGCAAAUCCCACGCUGCCAAGAAAAGCUUCUAACGUUAAUUUAUGACUGCCCGUACUGCAAACCGACACAGGGGGUCAGGAUGAGAAAUCUAAGGCGGACAGGCUAACUCUCGUUAAGGAACUCUGCAAAAUAACCUCGUAACUUCGGGAGAAGAGGAGCCCUUGGGUGUUAGUAUCCAGGUAUGAUAUAUAGUGGUAAGAUGAAUGCGCAAAUCCCACGCUGCCAAGAAAAGCUUCUAAUGUUAAUUUAUGACUGCCCGUACUGCAAACCGGCACAGGUGGUCAGGAUGAGAAAUCUAAGGCGUACAGGCUAACUCUCGUUAAGGAACUCUGCAAAAUAACCUCGUAACUUCGGGAGAAGAGGAGCCCUUGGGUGUUAGUAUCCAUGCGAUACAAAGCGCUCGAGGGUCGCAGUGAAGAGGCUCAAGCAACUGUUUAACAAAAACACAGGUCUAUGCUAAGCUGGAAGGCGAUGUAUAUGGGCUGACACCUGCCCAGUGCUGGAAGGUUAAGAGGAGGAGUGAGAGCUCCGAAUUGAAGCCCCAGUGAACGGCGGCCGUAACUAUAACGGUCCUAAGGUAGCGAAAUUCCUUGUCGGGUAAGUUCCGACCUGCACGAAUGGUGUAAUGAUUUGAGCGCUGUCUUGACGGGAGGCCUGGUGAAGUUGUAUUACCGGUGAAGAUACCGGUUACCUACAGUAGGACGGAAAGACCCCAUGGAGCUUUACUGUAGCUUGGUAUUGGGUUUUGGCAUUGCAUGUAUAGGAUAGUUGGGAGACUGAGAUGAUAUGGCGCUAGCUGUAUCGGAGUCAUCGGUGGAAUACCAACCAUUCAAUGCUGAAAUUCUAAUCUGUGGUUUGUAGCCACGGAGACAGUGCUAGGUGGGCAGUUUGACUGGGGCGGUCGCCUCCGAAAGAGUAACGGAGGCGUUCAAAGGUUCUCUCAGGUUGGAUGGAAAUCAACCAUAGAGUGCAAUGGCAUAAGAGAGCUUGACUGCAAGACUGACGGGUCGAUCAGAUGCGAAAGCAGGACAUAGUGAUCCGGCGAUUCCGAAUGGAAGGGUCGUCGCUCAACGGAUAAAAGCUACCCUGGGGAUAACAGGCUGAUCCUACCCGAGAGUCCAUAUCGACGGUAGGGUUUGGCACCUCGAUGUCGGCUCAUCGCAUCCUGGGGCUGGAGAAGGUCCCAAGGGUUGGGCUGUUCGCCCAUUAAAGCGGUACGUGAGCUGGGUUCAGAACGUCGUGAGACAGUUCGGUCCCUAUCCACUGUAGGCGUUAGAAUAUUGAGAAGACCUGUCCUUAGUACGAGAGGACCGGGAUGGACAAACCUCUGAUGUACCAGUUGUCACGCCAGUGGCACAGCUGGGUAGUCACGUUUGGAAUAGAUAACCGCUGAAAGCAUCUAAGCGGGAAACUAACUUCAAGAUAAGUAUUCUUUAAGAUACCUUCGAGCCUAGGAGGUUAAUAGGUUGGGGGUGUAAGUACAGCAAUGUAUUUAGCUGACCAAUACUAAUUAUCGAAGUUUUAAUCUAAUUUGUUUUUACUAUAUAGUUUC
rnacentral:rRNA from 1 species